rnacentral:rRNA from 1 species
UACGAAGGGGGCUAGCGUUGUUCGGAAUUACUGGGCGUAAAGCGCACGUAGGCGGAUAUUUAAGUCCGAUGUGAAAUCCCAGGGCUCAACCCUGGAAGUGCAUCGGAUACUGUGUGGCUUGAGUUCCGGAGAGGAUGGUGGAAUUCCCAGUGUAGAGGUGAAAUUCGUAGAUAUUGGGAGGAACACCGGUGGCGAAGGCGACCAUCUGGACGAGAACUGACACUGAGGCGCGAAAGCGUGGGGAGCAAACAGG